AUACGUAGGGAGCGAGCGUUAUCCGGAUUCAUUGGGCGUAAAGAGCGCGUAGGCGGCCCUUCAAGCGGAACCUCUAACCUCGGGGCUCAACCUCGAGCCGGGUUCCGAACUGGGGGGCUCGAGUUCGGUAGAGGAGGAUGGAAUUCCCGGUGUAGCGGUGGAAUGCGCAGAUAUCGGGAAGAACACCGAUGGCGAAGGCAGUCCUCUGGGCCGUGACUGACGCUGAGGCGCGAAAGCUGGGGGAGCGAACAGGAUUAGAUACCCUGGUAGUCCCAGCCGUAAACGAUGGGCGCUAGGUGUGGGGGGAUGCACCCUCCGUGCCGCAGCCAACGCAUUAAGCGCCCCGCCUGGGGAGUACGGCCGCAAGGCUAAA
rnacentral:rRNA from 1 species